AUGGAAACGCCGCCGUUCUCAGCCGCCGCUUUAAUACCGAAAGGACUCCUUGCUGCAGAUAGAGCCAGGAGGAGCGCACCGAGCCCUUGUGUGCCUCGUGAGGCUGCUCUGUACCGGAGUCACGGCAUUGGUGAGCAGCGCUCGGCGCUUUGGGCACAGGCACGCACGAGGAGCGGUGAGCAGAGCUUUGUUCUCAGCAAGUUCUGCUCCUCGUCACCGAGAGACGUGGCAGCAGCCACCAGGAGCAAAUGUGUUUGGUCAAAUACGGGUACUUCAAUGGUUUUAUCUAACUGACCCCUUUGUCACCGCCAUCUGAAAUUUACUGCUGUCUUCUCGUCUUUGGGAGAGAUGAGCAUUGGCUGAACCCUCCUGGCUGAAUGCUUCUUCUAAUUAAAGUCUAGAUUCAAGUAACAGUCAAUUUUUGAGGUUUCCUCUGCUGUCAGAGCUCUGUGAAUCUCUCCAGACAGGAUAAGCGCUGUUCUAGCUGGGGAAGGAGUACAAGUGCUCCAGGGCCCACUUAAGUGUCUCAACACAAGUCUGUGGUACAGAGCUUGGCAAACGGGAAGGCGUCUCCUCAGUGUUAAAUUGCUGCAGCAAAUCCUUCCACCUGGAGGACGGCUGAGCUCAAGGAAGCACCAGACUGUAAUGAAUUGUUGAAUUCAGAGCAGUCCUGUGAUGAAGAGGAGCAGGAGUCAUCCCAUCUAGAUGACUUUUGCCCCUCAGCACUUUCCAGAUUUCCUAUUAGGGAAGAGAACGCUGCACCAGCAAGUGCUUCCAUUUUUCUCCUCCGUGGCCCUUUGGAUCUGCACAGGGAAGACAUUGCAAUUGCAAGUAGUUUUCACAAGUUGUGAAGGGAAAGAGAGCAGGUGCUGUCUGGUGGUGGAAGAGGAGCUCCGUGAGCACCACCUGAAGUGGCCUGGGGUCAUAUGGAUUGUGAGGCCCAGCUGCAAACCUCCCUGCACUGUCUCAGAGUGGUGCAAACAGCUCUUGGGGUAAAGCUGCAGCUUGCAGGGGCUGCACAGGAAGGCCCCUUCCUCCUCUGAGCUCUCAGGUCUCACAGGGCUUGCAGGGACUUCUACUCAGAUCUGUUUGACAAACCCAGUUGAAGCCAGCUUGCAGGUCCACAAGUUACAGGGAGGACAGAUCCAGCAGACGGGUACACGUGCUCACACGGUGCAUGGCUGCAUAAAGCUUAUUUCUCCAGGAAACUGGGCAAUAAAAGCCCAUGAUGGUUCA
rnacentral:lncRNA from 1 species